UUUGCUUCUUACUGGUGAACCCAUCUGAAAUAAUGAGGGGAGUUUAUGUUUCUGAAACAUAGAGCAAGGUAUCAGAUGCAAACAGCAUGGUGCUUGUGUCUUCUGGCUUCAUGCUACCUGUCUCGUGCUGCACUU